GCCUUUAAAAAUCCGUUGGCUUUAUAGACCAUGAGGGUUCAAGUCCCUCUACCCCCA
rnacentral:tRNA from 1 species